UACGUAGGGUGCAAGCGUUAAUCGGAAUUACUGGGCGUAAAGCGUGCGCAGGCGGUCGUGCAAGUCAGAUGUGAAAUCCCCGGGCUUAACCUGGGAACUGCAUUUGUGACUGCACGGCUGGAGUGCGGCAGAGGGGGAUGGAAUUCCGCGUGUAGCAGUGAAAUGCGUAGAUAUGCGGAGGAACACCGAUGGCGAAGGCAAUCCCCUGGGCCUGCACUGACGCUCAUGCACGAAAGCGUGGGGAGCAAACAGG
rnacentral:rRNA from 1 species